UGACACAUGUCACACAGCAAGGAAAUGCUAUAUGCUUUAUUAUUGCAUCAUUGAUGAAUAGCCUUUCCCUACAAAGCAGCUGUAAUGAUCUUGAUGUAAAUCAAACACCACUCCUCUAUUUAAAACUCCUCAAGGACCUUGUAUAUAAUGAAGAGUAAGUGCUUUAAUUUUUAAGGCUCUACGUGAUGGACAUUCCCUUCAACCUCAGAUCUGUCACGUGUCUGACCUUCACUACUACAACUCUUCUCUUUUUUUGAUAUACUCCUGAUUUUGCUGUUUCUGGACCAUUCUAGACUGAAAAACUAUACACAUUAUCUUGAAGAGCUGAUGGGAGGACUGAAGAUAAAGUAUUCUGGACAUGAGCUGCAGAUGUGGAAAAGAGUCUUCCUGCAAGCUGGUGAAGACGACCUUGAUGACAUCACCUUGCCAAUAUACCUGCUUCCUCACAUGCCUGGCGUUCUUUGUUUCAAGCAGUGGCAGCACCAUGUUUCUGAGUCAUUCAAACCAGUGCAUAGUUACCUAGGACUACUCUCCCUUUUUCAUUCCUGACAUCUAAUCAAUCGUCAAGUUCUGCUGACUUUACUUUCCAUGUAUUACUGAAAACCAUCGCUUUCUCUUCCCUUCUCCUAUGCUACUUCAACAAGAAGGAAAUAACGGUGCUGUGAACUAUAUGGAAAAUUCUCUAAUUAUUUCCUCUUUCUCUGACUCUUUCAUCUUUAACUCAUCCUCAGGGAGCAGCCAUUAGACCAUUUUAUGACUAAAGUUGGAUAAAAUCUAUAACUUAGUUAAAAAAAUUUGACCCACAUCAAAUCAGGCUCCUUAGUAUGACUUGAAAAACAUUACAAAAUCUGGUCCCAGACUAUCUCUCCAGCUUCAUCUUUUACUGUUCUAAAAUGAAUACACACACACACAUACACACACACACACACACACACACACACACACACACAAGAUGCCUCUUAAUGCUACAGCAAAAGUAAACUGCUUUUAGUUGCUAAAUUCACCUUGCUGCCUUAUUCUUUGUUUGCAUUUGUUGUUUACUUUGAUUAGACUGUCAUUCCUUCUUUUUUCCUCUGGUAAACUUGUAUUCUCACUUCAA